AAAUUAACAUACUUACAAAUAAGAGGGAAAGUGUUAUAAUUUGAAUUAUUGAAUAACAUUGUAUCAUUAAUUGAUUAGUUCUUAUGACUUUAAGUUAGGUUUACAAAAGAAAUGAUGAUCAAAUUAUAACAUUUUCCCUCUUAUUUGUAAGUAUGUUAAUUUCAUUAAAAGAAUGUGUGUAUUUAAUGGAUUUCAAAAAGAGUUAUUAUUGGGUUCACCUCCCUAGGGUGAACCAGCCAAUAAGAUUUCAUUAUUUCAAAUUCGAUAUCUUUUAAAAAAGGAAACAAAAUAUUAUCAAGUUAUAUUAUGUUUUUAAAAUAAAAAAGUAAAAAGAAAAUAACGGUUACAGAAAAAAAAAUUAAAAAAAUCUUUUUAACGUCGUCAGCAAAACACUAAAUCUUAAACCCUAAAUCAUAAUCUCUAAACCCUAAACCCUUGGGUAAACCUAAACCCUUGGGUAAACCCUAAACCCUUGGGUAAACUCUAAACCGUGGAGUAAACCCUAAACACUUGGAUAAAUCUUAAACUCUAAAUAAAAACACUAAACCCUAAAACUCUAAACCCUAAAUCCUAAACCCUAAACUCUUGAGUGUUUUAGUGUUAAGUGAUUUUGAUUUAGAGUUUAAGAUUUAUCCUAGAGUUUAAGAUUUAUCCUAGAGUUUAGGAUUUACCCAAGGGUU
rnacentral:lncRNA from 1 species